GUUCCAGUUGAGAAAGUAGGGCAGAGCAACUGUAACUUUGCCCCCAAGGUCCUGACAUUUAGAAGGGGCAAGAAGUUUAGAGGCGUGCACAGUUUCUUGGCACGUGCCUCUUCCAACUCCUUCUACAGCCAUCUAGGGCACACAGACACACCACCUAUAUGGGCCAGCCUGGUGGGCACCCACCAAGAUGGACAGCUUCAGUGGCUCCAGAUCAACGCAAAGCUCCCGCUGAUCAGGGCCUCUUCCUCCCCACAGUUAAUAUUCUCCACCUCUUCUGAGAAGAGGACCUGCAGGGCUUGUGUUUCAAGCUGCUUGCGGGGGGCCACCAAAGGGGAUACAGUGCUGGGCAGGGUGACUCUGUCAAGCCCCUGCCCCCAGGGAGCAAAGGACUCAGGGAUCCCACCUUGCUUUUACCAACAGACCCCUUUCAUAAGUCCUGGAUGGCCCCUGAAGCCCUCAACUUCUCCUUCAGCCAGAAAUCAGACAUCUGGUCCCUGGGCUGCAUCAUUCUGGACAUGACCAGCUGCUCCUUCAUGGAUGGCACAGAAGCCAUGCAUCUGCGGAAGUCCCUCCGCCAGAGCCCAGGCAGCCUGAAGGCCGUCCUGAAGACAAUGGAGGAGAAGCAGAUCCCGGAUGUGGAAACCUUCGGGAAUCUUCUGCCCUUGAUGCUCCAGAUCGACCCCUCGGAUCGAAUAACGAUAAAGUGAGCUCAGGGUCAGGGUUUACUUUAACCUAUGGAUUUAU
rnacentral:sRNA from 1 species